UACGUAGGGUGCGAGCGUUGUCCGGAAUUAUUGGGCGUAAAGAGCUCGUAGGCGGUGUGUCGCGUCGGUCGUGAAAACUUGGGGCUUAACUCUGAGCUUGCGGUCGAUACGGGCAUCACUUGAGUUCGGCAGGGGAGACUGGAAUUCCUGGUGUAGCGGUGAAAUGCGCAGAUAUCAGGAGGAACACCGGUGGCGAAGGCGGGUCUCUGGGCCGAUACUGACGCUGAGGAGCGAAAGUGUGGGGGAGCGAACAGG
rnacentral:rRNA from 1 species